UUUGUUUUUCUCUGAUAAUUCUUCUCUUUCCUGAGCCUCUUUAGAGCAGCACUUACAGGAUUGCCUCUGUAAAGCCUUAUUCCUGUCCCAGAAAAGGUGAAAUCCCUAAGGGCUCUGCCAUGUACUCCAGCCUUGUGACCCUUGCCUUCCAGGAACCAUGCAAGAAGCGCAGCCACCGGAAGUCCUUAAAACAGCAGGAAAGGUUGGCCUGUCCCCCUUUUGUGCAGCUACCUAUCUGCUGAGGAGCAUCUGGGCCUCAUUCCUCCAAGUCCACUGGAGGGUCCAGAAGAGGGAGUCAGAGUUGUAUCCUGGUGGAGCUGGCAGAAAGGCAGAAAGCCUUUCUGACAGCUAUGGAAUACGAUUAGCCAAGGUCCACUUGGCCCAGCACUAAGAAAAAGAUGCGUAGUUUGCACAGAAGGUUUUGUGAUCCUGCCUCUCAACAGCCCCAGCAGCUUGGGAACUAGCAAGAGCACAUUUCUUGCCUCAUCAGCUGUCCUGAGAUGGAAAACUCAGUGAAUAUAGGACCCUG
rnacentral:lncRNA from 1 species